UGCAGUCGAACGAUGAACCUCACUUGUGGGGGGAUUAGUGGCGAACGGGUGAGUAACACGUGAGUAACCUGCCCUUGACUCUGGGAUAAGCCUGGGAAACCGGGUCUAAUACUGGAUACGACCUUCUGGCGCAUGCCAUGUUGGUGGAAAGCUUUUGUGGUUUUGGAUGGACUCGCGGCCUAUCAGCUUGUUGGUGGGGUAAUGGCCUACCAAGGCGACGACGGGUAGCCGGCCUGAGAGGGUGACCGGCCACACUGGGACUGAGACACGGCCCAGACUCCUACGGGAGGCAGCAGUGGGGAAUAUUGCACAAUGGGCGCAAGCCUGAUGCAGCGACGCCGCGUGAGGGAUGAAGGCCUUCGGGUUGUAAACCUCUUUCAGUAGGGAAGAAGCUGGUCCUUCGGGGUUGGUGACGGUACCUGCAGAAGAAGCGCCGGCUAACUACGUGCCAGCAGCCGCGGUAAUACGUAGGGCGCAAGCGUUAUCCGGAAUUAUUGGGCGUAAAGAGCUCGUAGGCGGUUUGUCGCGUCUGCCGUGAAAGUCCGGGGCUUAACUCCGGAUCUGCGGUGGGUACGGGCAGACUAGAGUGCAGUAGGGGAGACUGGAAUUCCUGGUGUAGCGGUGAAAUGCGCAGAUAUCAGGAGGAACACCGAUGGCGAAGGCAGGUCUCUGGGCUGUAACUGACGCUGAGGAGCGAAAGCAUGGGGAGCGAACAGGAUUAGAUACCCUGGUAGUCCAUGCCGUAAACGUUGGGCACUAGGUGUG
rnacentral:rRNA from 1 species